rnacentral:rRNA from 1 species
CCUACGGGUGGCAGCAGUGGGGAAUAUUGGGCAAUGGGCGCAAGCCUGACCCAGCAACGCCGCGUGAAGGAAGAAGGCUCUCGGGUUGUAAACUUCUUUUAAGAGGGAAGAGCAGAAGACGGUACCUCUUGAAUAAGCCACGGCUAAAUACGUGCCAGCAGCUGCGGUAAUACGUAGGUGGCGAGCGUUGUCCGGAUUUACUGGGUGUAAAGGGCGUGCAGCGGGGAAGACAAGUCAGAUGUGAAAUCCCGCGGCUCAACCGCAGAACUGCAGUUGAAACUGGUUUUCUUGAGUACCGGAGAGGUCAGCGGAAUUCGUGGUGUAGCGGUGAAAUGCUUAGAUAUAACGAAGAACACCAGUGGCGAAGGCAGAUGACUGGACGGCAACUGACGGUGAGGCGCGAAAGCGUGGGGAGCAAACAGGAUUAGAUACCCGGGUAGUC